AUGGGAUGAGCUUGUUGGUGGGGUAACGGCUCACCAAGGCGACGAUCCCUAGCUGGUCUGAGAGGAUGACCAGCCACACUGGAACUGAGACACGGUCCAGACUCCUACGGGAGGCAGCAGUGGGGAAUAUUGCACAAUGGGCGCAAGCCUGAUGCAGCCAUGCCGCGUGUAUGAAGAAGGCCUUCGGGUUGUAAAGUACUUUCAGCGGGGAGGAAGGGAGUAAAGUUAAUACCUUUGCUCAUUGACGUUACCCGCAGAAGAAGCACCGGCUAACUCCGUGCCAGCAGCCGCGGUAAUACGGAGGGUGCAAGCGUUAAUCGGAAUUACUGGGCGUAAAGCGCACGCAGGCGGUUUGUUAAGUCAGAUGUGAAAUCCCCGGGCUCAACCUGGGAACUGCAUCUGAUACUGGCAAGCUUGAGUCUCGUAGAGGGGGGUAGAAUUCCAGGUGUAGCGGUGAAAUGCGUAGAGAUCUGGAGGAAUACCGGUGGCGAAGGCGGCCCCCUGG
rnacentral:rRNA from 1 species